rnacentral:rRNA from 1 species
GUGUCAGCCGCCGCGGUAAUACGGAGGGGGCAAGCGUUGUUCGGAAUUAUUGGGCGUAAAGGGCGCGUAGGCGGCCAUGCAAGUCGGUUGUGAAAUCCCUUGGCUCAACCAAGGAACUGCGUCCGAAACUGCAUGGCUCGAGUCCGGGAGAGGGUAGUGGAAUUCCCAGUGUAGCGGUGAAAUGCGUAGAUAUUGGGAGGAACACCGGUGGCGAAGGCGGCUACCUGGACCGGAACUGACGCUGAGGCGCGAAAGCUAGGGGAGCAAACAGGAUUAGAUACCCUCGUAGUCC